AGGUUCCCCCACUGAGAGCUCAGCUGAAAUCACUGAGAGCUGGGUGGAACCUCAAGAGACCAAUUUGCAGAGGUCACAGUGGCAGGUGGCAGCAGAAGGUGAUGGCACAGGGCCAUUGGCAAUGGAGUGAAUGGUGGUACAAUGAACAACAGUGGCCAGAGCAAACAGUGAGCAGCUGGAGGAAUGAGGAAGGUGCCUUCUUGUCCCCCGCCUGGGAGGUGAACACAUAUGAAAGCACCUCUGAACUCUGAGUCUCCAUUGACCAAGGACAACACCGGGGAACCCCCUACACACCAGUGGAGCAGCUCCGCCAGAUAAGGACGCAGCUGAGGAGGAGCAAGGAGAACAUGUUUCGAGAGGUCAGUCUGUCAGCAGCCUCUGAAGGACUUCCCUUCCAAGGUCCCUGAUGAUAAUUAACAAGACAGACAGACAUUGGUAGAUAAAUGGUUUGCAGACAGCAAAAGAUUAAUGAGAGAACUCACUAAAAAUUUCCCACAAAGAUUGUCUUAAAAAUAUGAAGUAAGACAGACUUGCUUCAGGGCCAUUCAGCAGCUCCCAGCAUGGCUGUGGUGUUUCUAGCUGACCUAUCACUCAUGAGGGUGGCAGAGAAGGCAAUGACUCAAGACUGCUUGAGGUUGCUUGGGCUCAUAUGCUGCUGGCCUUUUCAUGCCCAGAGCUCAUUGAAGAGUGGCUUUGGAAGGUGUCCCACCGUAGCAGGAGAUAAAAAAGGCAGCUCUUCCUGGGAAUCUCCAAUCGAAGCGUAAAGAAUACUUGCUUGAAAACUGUCAUUGAGAUUGUGCCAGAGAAUACAAGGGAUGUCCAUGCCAAGAUAAACCUCAAAGGAGAGUGGUCACAGCUGACUAUUUCUGCAAAUCAAUUAAAAAUCAAACUGCCUGAGGCACCAUCUCUACCUCUCUCUAGCUCUGAAUCUGAGCAUAGCAUUAUACUAACUUAUUUUGAACCUGAACUCUCACGCUGGAAAACCAAACUAUGUUUUCUCUGUUUACCUUACAUGUUUACUUUAUAAUUUCAUUCCUAAUAAUCAGAUGGGCUGACUAAGCAAUUACUGUAUUACUUGCACGAUUAUUUUAAAUGUCCUAUGUAUUUUAUUGCAAGGUGUUGAUUUAUGUUGCUAGACUUUCUAUGUGCCUGUUCCGGAAAAAGUAUGCAUUUAGGAAUGAGUUGGGGUGUAUAGUAUCAUAUUUCAAUGUCUGUACUUUGACCCAUCAACCUUUUACUUCCAAUCGGGGAUAUUGCAGAUUAUGUAUUCCUUAUGGCAUCUGAUCUUAAACCAAACU